AUUGAACGCUGGCGGCAGGCCUAACACAUGCAAGUCGAACGAGUGGCGGACGGGUGAGUAAUGUCUGGGAAACUGCCUGAUGGCGGGGGAUAACUACUGGAAACGGUAGCUAAUACCGCAUACCAUCGGAUGUGCCCAGAUGGGAUUAGCUCGUAGGUGGGGUAACGGCUCACCUAGGCAACGAUCCCUAGCUGGUCUGAGAGGAUGACCAGCCACACUGGACAUGAGACACGGUCCAGACUCCUACGGGAGGCAGCAGUGGGGAAUAUUACACAAUGGGCGCAAGCCUGAUGCAGCCAUGCCGCGUGUAUGAAGAAGGCCUUCGGGUUGUAAAGCACUUUCAGCGUGGAGGCGUUACCCGCAGAAGAAGCACCGGCUAACUCCGUGCCAACAGCCGCGGUAAUUC
rnacentral:rRNA from 1 species